AGUGCUAAAGGCGGAUGCCUUGGCAUCUAGAGGCGAUGAAGGACGUUGUAACUUGCGAUAAGCCCCGGUGAGCCAGUACACAGGCUAUGACCCGAGGAUUUCCGAAUGGGGAAACCCGACAUUUAUGUCACCACUUUUGUGGAGCAAACCCGGAGAACUGAAACAUCUUAGUACCCGGAGGAAAAGAAAUCAAUUGAGAUUCCGUUAGUAGUGGCGAGCGAAAGCGGACCAGCCCUUAAGCUAAUUUUUGUCUAGUAGAAUGUUAUGGAAAGAACAGCCAUAGUGGGUGAUAGCCCCGUAUACGAAAGGCAUUAAUUAGUGAAAUCGAGUAGGUCGGAACACGUGAAAUUUUGACUGAAUAUGGGAGGACCAUCUUCCAAGGCUAAAUACUCCUAGAUGACCGAUAGUGAACAAGUACCGUGAGGGAAAGGUGAAAAGUCCCCCUGUUAGGGGAGUGAAAUAGUACCUGAAAUCUUUAGCAUACAAUCAGUCAGAGCCCUUCGGGGUGAUGGCGUACCUUUUGUAUAAUGGGUCAGCGACUUAAUUUCAGUAGCAAGCUUAACGUUAGGUAGGCGUAGGGAAACCGAGUCUUAAAUGGGCGAAUUAGUUGCUGGAAUUAGACCCGAAACCAAGCGAUCUAUCCAUGGUCAGGUUGAAGUGUGAGUAACAUCACAUGGAGGACCGAACCCACUUAUGUUGAAAAAUGAGGGGAUGAACUGUGGAUAGGGGUGAAAGGCCAAUCAAGCUUGGAGAUAGCUGGUUCUCUCCGAAAACUAUUUAGGUAGUGCCUCUUGUAUUACCAAUGGGGGUAGAGCACUGUUUCGGCUAGGGGGUCAUCCCGACUUACCAAACCGAUGCAAACUCCGAAUACCAAUGAGUAUGAGCAUGGGAGACAGACUGCGGGUGCUAACGUCCGUAGUCGAGAGGGAAACAACCCAGACUGUCAGCUAAGGUCCCUAAUUAUGAUUAAGUGGGAAACAAUGUGGGAAGGCACAAACAGCUAGGAGGUUGGCUUAGAAGCAGCCAUCCUUUAAAGAAAGCGUAAUAGCUCACUAGUCUAGUUUGUCUGCGCGGAAGAUUUACCGGGGCUAAAUCAUAAACCGAAGCUUUGGAUCAUCUUCGGAUGAUGGUAGGAGAGCGUUCUGUAAGCCUGUGAAGGUGAACCGAGAGGUUUGCUGGAGGUAUCAGAAGUGCGAAUGCUGACAUGAGUAACGAAUAAGGAGGUGAAAAACCUCCUCGCCGGAAGACUAAGGAUUCCUGUCCAACGCUUUUCGUGGCAGGGUUAGUCGGCCCCUAAGGCGUACCCGAAAGGGGAAGUCGAUGGGAAACAGGUUAAUAUUCCUGUACCAGUUGGAAGUGACGGAUCUGGUAAAUUGUAUGCACUUAUUGGAUUGUGUAUGCAGUGAACAGGUUCCAAGAAAUAGCUCCAACAUAGACCGUACCACAAACCGACACAGGUGGUCAGGUAGAGAAUACCGAGGCGGAUGAGAUAACUCUGGUGAAGGAACUAGGCAAAAUGUAACCGUAACUUCGGGAGAAGGUUAGCCAAUUAGAAGGCAACUUUUAAUUGGUCGAAGAUACCAGGUGGCUGCGACUGUUUACUAAAAACACAGCACUCUGCUAACACGAAAGUGGACGUAUAGGGUGUGACGCCUGCCCGGUGCCGGAAGGUUAAAUGAUGGGGUUAGCUUCGGCGAAGCUCUUGAUUGAAGCCCCGGUAAACGGCGGCCGUAACUAUAACGGUCCUAAGGUAGCGAAAUUCCUUGUCGGGUAAGUUCCGACCUGCACGAAUGGCGUAACGAUGGCCACACUGUCUCCACCAGAGGCUCAGUGAAAUUGAAAUAGCUGUUAAGAUGCAGUUUACCCGCAGCUAGACGGAAAGACCCCGUGCACCUUUACUACAGGUUCACACUGAAAUUUGGUUUUAUAUGUGUAGGAUAGGUGGGAGACUUUGAAGCUUGGACGCCAGUUCAGGUGGAGUCGCCCUUGAAAUACCACCCUUGUAAGAUUGACUUUCUAACUUUGAUUUUUUUCAAGGACAGUGUGUGCUGGGUAGUUUGACUGGGGCGGUCUCCUCCUAAAGAGUAACGGAGGAGUACGAAGGUAUGCUCAACACGGUCGGACAUCGUGUGUAGAGUGCAAAAGCAAAAGCAUGCUUGACUGCGAGAUCGACGGAUCGAGCAGGUAGGAAACUAGGUUUUAGUGAUCCGGUGGUUCUGAAUGGAAGGGCCAUCGCUCAACGGAUAAAAGGUACGCCGGGGAUAACAGGCUGAUACUGCCCAAGAGUCCAUAUCGACGGCAGUGUUUGGCACCUCGAUGUCGGCUCAUCUCAUCCUGGGGCUGGAGCAGGUCCCAAGGGUAUGGCUGUUCGCCAUUUAAAGAGGUACGCGAGCUGGGUUUAGAACGUCGUGAGACAGUUCGGUCCCUAUCUGCUGUGGGCGUUGGAGAUUUGAAGGAAGCUUCUUCUAGUACGAGAGGACCGAAGUGGACGAACCUCUGGUGGUCCGGUUGUUGCGCCAGCAGCAUUGCCGGGUAGCUAUGUUCGGAAGGGAUAACCGCUGAAAGCAUAUAAGCGGGAAGCCCCUCCUAAGAUGAGAUCUCCCUUGAGAGCCGUUGAAGACUACAACGUUGAUAGGCUAGAUGUGUAAGUCCUGUAAGGGAUUCAGCUUACUAGUACUAAUUGCUCGAUCGGCUUGAAU
rnacentral:rRNA from 1 species